rnacentral:rRNA from 1 species
AUUGAACGCUAGCGGGAUGCUUUACACAUGCAAGUCGAACGGCAGCGCGGACUUCGGUCUGGCGGCGAGUGGCGAACGGGUGAGUAAUGUAUCGGAACGUGCCCAGUAGCGGGGGAUAACUACGCGAAAGCGUAGCUAAUACCGCAUACGCCCUACGGGGGAAAGCAGGGGAUCGUAAGACCUUGCACUAUUGGAGCGGCCGAUAUCGGAUUAGCUAGUUGGUGAGGUAACGGCUCACCAAGGCGACGAUCCGUAGCUGGUUUGAGAGGACGACCAGCCACGCUGGGACUGAGACACGGCCCAGACUCCUACGGGAGGCAGCAGUGGGGAAUUUUGGACAAUGGGGGCAACCCUGAUCCAGCCAUCCCGCGUGUGCGAUGAAGGCCUUCGGGUUGUAAAGCACUUUUGGCAGGAAAGAAACGUCGCGGGCUAAUACCCCGUGGAACUGACGGUACCUGCAGAAUAAGCACCGGCUGACUACGUG